UGUAACCUCCCUGUGCUGGGCUUGUUUUCAGUUGCCUGCGGCUGAUUAAUAGGGACUCAGGCAGCUAAAGCAAGUCUGAUACAUGAAAGGAGAACC
ensembl:miRNA aca-mir-1788 aca-mir-1788